GUCYUAUUGAAUAAUAAUUUUMAGUCUWAUCYGCCCACUGAGGAAUUAAAUGGCCGCGGUAUUUUGACCGUGCAAAGGUAGCAUAAUCAUUAGUUUUUUAAUUGAAAGCUGGAAUGAAGGAUUGAAUGAGAAAAUGACUGUCUCUUAAAUAAUUUUUGAAAUUUAUUUUUAAAUAAAAAAGUUUAAAUGAUAUUAAAAGACGAGAAGACCCUAUAGAGUUUUAUUUUAUAAUUAAUAAUUUAAUUUUAGUAUUAAUAAGGAAAUUAUUAGUUAAAAAUUUUAUUGGGGUGAUAAAAAAAUUUAAAUAACUUUUUUUAUUUUAGUUCAAUAAUAUUUGCUUAAAUGAUCCAGAAUUUUUGAUUAAAAGAUUAAAUUACCUUAGGGAUAACAGCGUAAUUUUUUUUGAAAGUUCUUAUUGAAAAAAAAGUUUGCGACCUCGAUGUUGGAUUAAAAUAAAAUUCUGGUGUAGAAGCUAGAAAAUUUAAGUCUGUUCGACUUUUAAAAUUUUACA
rnacentral:rRNA from 1 species